CCCUCCCAGUGGAUACAUCUCCCAAGGCUCAUCACACGUUCUCCUAACCAGCACUGCAUGGCUUCUCCUGUAAUGAGCGCAAAGAGAGGAAGAGCAAGACAGAGAGACAGAGUAUGAGGAAGAUGGGACGGCAGAGAGGGAGAGAGAGACGGAGGGAGGGAGGCUGGGUUGAUGGCUGAGACACCUACCUCUGGACUAGAUCACGCCUCCCUCCGACGUGACCUUCACUUUAUUUAUAUUCUGGUUUUAAGUAACGAGUAUUUAUUAGGGAGGGCCCGGGAUUGUGGCGCUCUGUCAGAAUGAGACGGAUCGAGCUGCAGCCGGAAGGCAAAUCAUUUUUACUUUUACCUCCGCUUUGCUCACCACCAGCUCCAGAGCAUAAUGAUCUGGACAUAAGCUGCAUCACUGUGUUCACCAUGCAAAUUCAAAGCAGUUUAGUCGCAGGUCCAUUGUGACAGUGGCCGGCAGAGAACAGCACUUUCCGUCUGCAUUUGUCUUCAUAUCUUCGACUGUAUGUCACUGUUUUGUCAGUGUGGAUUACUUUUUUAAUUCAUGUCUCAUUUUGUUACACAGAAUAGAAAUCUAUCUGUUUUCUUUUUUCUUUUCCAGUGCCCCAGCAUUGUGUGUGAGAUCUUGAAAAAAAUAAUAUUGAGGGGCAAAUCGUAUAGGCUAAUAAAUGGGGACAGGGAGUUUCCUGCUUUGUCUACCCGCCGUUCUUUACCUGACAGCCGACGUGAUUUAUUCAGGGUGCUCCGACGAGAGGAGUUCACUCUGCUUUGCGUGGGCGUCCUAUUGGCACAGAACAAUAAAAAAAUAAAUAAUCAAACAUCUUAAAUCUUCGACAGCGGCGAAUAAGACACUAGGAUAACCUUUAGAUCUGGCCUUCAUUCAGAUGUAACAUUUGCGGAUGAAUAAACGGUCGAUGGGAGGCUCAAUUAAAAAUUUAAAAAUCUGCUAAAGGAAAUAAGAUUGUCCAACUUCAAAUCCUGUCUUUGAUCUGAGUCAAACAAAAACAUUUACAUAUUGUUUUACCGAGCUCUGGUUGAAUUUGACAGACUUAAGAUUUGUAACAUUAAUUUUGAAUAGAACAACAAACGAGUCAAUAAAAAUGAAUACCUUUUAAAACGGAGUUCAAAGUAAAAGUGCUGUUUCUUUUAUUUGAACCCAGAUCUCGCUCUUAGUCGAGCUCCCGGAGUUCGUUAAUGGGUCCAAAUGAGUCCGUCUAAACACACAGGGACGGUGCCAGGACGGCGUCUCGUUGCGCAAUCGGCGACCUUUAGCUCGAUACCGUCCAGAUGGCGCAGGUGAGGGACUAGGCCCAAAAUGGCGCUACGCAGCGAACCCCGCCGGAGUCCUUCAGGUUCCCGCGGGGACCACCAUCUGCAACGCCAGUGAAUAGGGUGCAAACAUCUCCAAUGUAAUUAACGAGGCCCCGGCAAACGGGAUGCUCCUCCGUUACGUCUUCUCGGGCCGACAUGUCACAGCGGAAUGCGGUCGAACUACUUCAACCGCAGUGCACUCUGCCCUCUCUCAACACCGCAGGAUGUCAUCCGAGGAAGUCGGGAGGUUAGCGCACCGUCCGAGACCUGUGGGACGGCAGAGCAAAAGAAAAGGGCAAGAGGAAAGAUCGCUGCUGGCCCUUCCUGGCCAGACAAGCCCCCUUAUUUGAUUUCUUACCCCCCUGACAGUUCUUGUGCAUCAGUGCAGCACCAACCUGCCACAACAACACU